CCUACGGGUGGCAGCAGUGAGGAAUAUUGGUCAAUGGACGCAAGUCUGAACCAGCCAUGCAGCGUGCAGGAAGACGGCCCUAUGAGUUGUAAACUGCUUUUGUACGGGGGUAAACGCAGUCACGUGUAUCUGGUUGCAUGUACCGUAUGAAUAAGGAUCGGCUAACUCCGUGCCAGCAGCCGCGGUAAUACGGAGGAUUCAAGCGUUAUCCGGAUUUAUUGGGUUUAAAGGGAGCGUAGGCGGUUUGAUAAGUUAGUUGUGAAAGUCCGCGGCUCAACCGUGGAACUGCAGUUGAUACUGGCAGGCGUGAGUAUAGUUGAGGUAGGCGGAAUGUGUGGUGUAGCGGUGAAAUGCUUAGAGAUCACGAAGAACACCGAUUGCGAAGGCAGCUUACUAAACUAUGACUGACGUUGAGGCGCGAAAGCGUGGGGAGCAAACAGGAUUAGAUACCCUUGUAGUC
rnacentral:rRNA from 1 species